rnacentral:misc_RNA from 1 species
AUAUCCACAGGCACCUGAAUGCUCUCUAAUUUGUGCAAUGCAAGUUUUAAUGGCUCCGUUAUUUUACAGUAUUUCUGAAGUAGCAAACUUGCAGCUUCUUUGUCACCUUUUGCCUGUAUAGUUAGAAGAACUUCCCUACUAAGGCUUUCAACUGCCCCUUCAACCUUAGCAAAAUCAACAGAGAAUGUCUCAUCAGGGUGUAAUAUAAAGGCUUCUUUCUCAAAUAACCAGUUGAACUGCAUUGCUUGUCCUUUUCCAUGAGCUUCCUCUAAACCAAAUCGAACAGAGCGAAAGCACCCCGCAAGAAAAGAAACAUACAUAGACUUCACCAAACUCUUUGGAAGCAAAUCCUUGUUGAUUAAAAACUUGAGUGCCCAAAGGCCAACUAUAUCAGCUUUUGCUUCUUCCAAAGCUGAGUGAAGUUCCUGCAACUUCUCUCUCACUGUAGACUUUUGACCGUUUGGAAGUGUUAUAGUAUGAGGACCAAUACCAUGGCAGCAUUCAUGGCAGAUGGUGUGUGUAAAGAAAGAUUCAAAAUCUACAAGUUCCAUUUGCUCUUUAGCAAUACAGACAUCAGCUAUAGGUUGAAGGAUAUGCUUGAACUUGGCUUCUGAAACAUUCUUAAGCAUGACCAUUGAAGUUCCACGUUCUUUUACUAUAUGCUCAUCAUUGGGUAAAUUGAAAGCAAUAGUCUGAGGACCUUUCACGUCCCCUGCAUUAUAGAUAAGUCGGAUGACACGAAUAGGAGCAGCUUUAACAUCUGUUGAUUUGUAAGCAUCGUCCAUUGGAAGAUGUUGCUCCAAAACCUGCAAAUUAUUGCCAAAGAG